AACCGAACGGCUGGCGGCAGGCUUAACACAUGCAAGUUGAACGGGAUUUGUGUGGUGCUUGCACCAUAUAAUGAGAGUAGCGCACUGGUGAGUAACACGUAAGGAAUCUACCUAUAAGUGGGGAUAACAUCCGGAAACGGGUGCUAAUACCGCAUAAUAACCGACACCACAUGGUGUAAGUUUGAAAGAUGGCUCUGCUGUCACUUAUAGAUGACCUUGCGGUGCAUUAGCUAGUUGGUGGGUAACUAGCCUACCAAGGCGAUGAUGCAUAGCCGAGUUGAGAGACUGAUCGGCCACAAUUGGAACUGAGACACGGCCCAGU
rnacentral:rRNA from 1 species